AUUCACGCGUUGAACCAGCGUUCCGUUGCCGUUUUCCUGGACCGAUGGCUAGUAUUUAUAAAAGCCGGAGGUCGGGUUUCCUUUCCCCAUCUAUCCUCUGGAAGCAAGCUUCUGUCGACACCGUGGGAGCGGGUUAGAGUGCGGUGCGGGGGAGAGAGGCCCGCCGCAUCCUGGGCUCGCCGGUGCUGCCCUUCUACACCAGUGGGGUGGUUCUGGGGCUUCGCCAGCACGCGGGGAAGCUUUGCCUGGUUCGUGCGCAUCGGGGUUGUGGCCGGAGCCUGGGUAAUUUCUCGACGGAAUUUCGGCCUCCGUGGUGUGGCCACCGAGCACCGCAGAUUGGACACGUGAUCGCAUAACAGAAGGUAAAUAACCAAUUGAAUCACUUCCCCAUGUCCUUUCAAUCGUAUUUACGCAAAUUGGGGCGGAAACCAGGCAACGGGGGCACCAGUGCGUCGUGCUCCGGCGGGAUUCCGCCGUGCAGACUGGGCGGCGCCGCCGCGCUCUGGCGUCGGGCGGGGAAGACGCCUCGUCACCGUCAGAUCACUUGUGGGCGGUUGAGAUUAGAUCGACCCAUACCCCUUCACUCGAUUAAAUCUGUGCCGUCGGUUGCAGGCUUUGCGGUCGAGAUUGGGUUACGGCGUGGAUGCCUCACGACCAUCAGAUCUUAAUCUAGCGGCUGUCGUUGGAUACUGAGUUAGGUUUUAUAAAAAAAUCUA
rnacentral:lncRNA from 1 species